GACGAACGCUGGCGGCGUGCUUAACACAUGCAAGUCGAACGGAAAGGCCCUGCUUUUGUGGGGUGCUCGAGUGGCGAACGGGUGAGUAACACGUGAGUAACCUGCCCUUGACUUUGGGGUAACUUCAGGAAACUGGGGCUAAUACCGGAUAGGAGCUCCUGCUGCAUGGUGGGGGUUGGAAAGUUUCGGCGGUUGGGGAUGGACUCGCGGCUUAUCAGCUUGUUGGUGGGGUAGUGGCUUACCAAGGCUUUGACGGGUAGCCGGCCUGAGAGGGUGACCGGCCGCAUUGGGACUGAGAUACGGCCCGGACUCCAACGGGAGGCAGCAGUGGGGAAUAUUGCACAAUGGGCGGAAGCCGGAUGCAGCAACGCCGCGUGCGGGAUGACGGCCUUCGGGUGGUAAACCGCUUUCGCCUGGGACGAAGCGUGAGUGACGGUAAUGGGUAAAGAAGCACCGGCUAACUACGUG
rnacentral:rRNA from 1 species